rnacentral:hammerhead_ribozyme from 1 species
GCACUGGUGAGGAGUCCCACAAUAGGACGAAACAGCUGUUCAGUGC